rnacentral:tRNA from 1 species
UAAGGUGGCCGAGUGGUUAAGGCGAUGGACUGCUAAUCCAUUAAGGGUGCACGCAUGGGUUCGAAUCCCAUCCUUGU